GCGUUGGUGGUUUAGUGGUAAAAUUGGCCGUUGCCAGAGCAUUCACUCCGAAUAUUCCCGUCUCGGCCAGCCCCGGGUUCGAUUCCCGGCCGACGCA